GUGCCAGCCGCCGCGGUAAUACGGAGGGUGCAAGCGUUAAUCGGAAUUACUGGGCGUAAAGCGCACGUAGGUUGUCUGUUAAGUUGGAUGUGAAAGCCCAGGGCUCAACCUUGGAACUGCAUCCAAAACUGGCAGACUAGAGUAUGGUAGAGGUGAGUGGAAUUUCCUGUGUAGCGGUGAAAUGCGUAGAGAUGGGAAGGAACAUCAGUGGCGAAGGCGACUCACUGGACCAAUACUGACACUGAGGUGCGAAAGCGUGGGUAGCAAACAGGAUUAGAAACCCGAGUAGUCC
rnacentral:rRNA from 1 species